CGUAACAAGGUUUCCGUAGGUGAACCUGCGGAAGGAUCAUUACCUAGAGUUGUAGGCUUUGCCUGCUAUCUCUUACCCAUGUCUUUUAAGUACCUUCGUUUCCUCGGCGGGUUCGCCCGCCGAUUGGACAAUUUAAACCAUUUGCAGUUGCAAUCAGCGUCUGAAAAAACUUAAUAGUUACAACUUUCAACAACGGAUCUCUUGGUUCUGGCAUCGAUGAAGAACGCAGCGAAAUGCGAUAAGUAGUGUGAAUUGCAGAAUUCAGUGAAUCAUCGAAUCUUUGAACGCACAUUGCGCCCCUUGGUAUUCCAUGGGGCAUGCCUGUUCGAGCGUCAUUUGUACCUUCAAGCUCUGCUUGGUGUUGGGUGUUUGUCUCGCCUCUGCGUGUAGACUCGCCUCAAAACAAUUGGCAGCCGGCGUAUUGAUUUCGGAGCGCAGUACAUCUCGCGCUUUGCACUCAUAACGACGACGUCCAAAAGUACAUUUUUACACUCUUGACCUCGGAUCAGGUAGGGAUACCCGCUGAACUUAAGCAUA
rnacentral:rRNA from 1 species